rnacentral:rRNA from 1 species
GACGAACGCUGGCGGCGUGCUUAACACAUGCAAGUGGUGCGACGAACCAGGGCUUGCCCUGGGGCAAAGCCGCGAACGGGUGAGUAACACGUGAGUAGCCUGUCCCGAUGACCGGGACAACCCGAGGAAACUCGGGCUAAUACCGGAUGUGGCGCACAGGCGUAAGCUUGUUCGCUAAAGGAAGCUUCGGCCUCCGCAUUGGGAGGGGCUCGGCGGCCCAUUAGCUUGUUGGUGGGGUAACGGCCACCAAGGCAACGAUGGGUAGCUGGUCUGAGAGGACGAUCAGCCACACUGGGACUGAGACACGGCCCAGACUCCUACGGGAGGCAGCAGUGGGGAAUCUUGCGCAAUGCGCGAAAGCGUGACGCAGCAACGCCGCGUGGGG